GUGAGCAUAGUUUAUUAUAAAACACUAGACUGUGAAUCUAAAAAUAGGACAUUAACACCCUUGCACACC
rnacentral:tRNA from 1 species